rnacentral:rRNA from 1 species
GGUUAACCGUAUAGGGGAGCCGAAGGGAAACCGAGUCUUAACUGGGCGUUAAGUUGCAGGGUAUAGACCCGAAACCCGGUGAUCUAGCCAUGGGCAGGUUGAAGGUUGGGUAACACUAACUGGAGGACCGAACCGACUAAUGUUGAAAAAUUAGCGGAUGACCUGUGGCUGGGGGUGAAAGGCCAAUCAAACCGGGAGAUAGCUGGUUCUCCCCGAAAGCUAUUUAGGUAGCGCCUCGUGAAUUCAUCUCCGGGGGUAGAGCACUGUUUCGGCUAGGGGGCCAUCCCGGCUUACCAACCCGAUGCAAACUGCGAAUACCGGAGAAUGUUAUCACGGGAGACACACGGCGGGUGCUAACGUCCGUCGUGAAGAGGGAAACAACCCAGACCGCCAGCUAAGGUCCCAAAGUCAUGGUUAAGUGGGAAACGAUGUGGGAAGGCCCAGACAGCCAGGAUGUUGGCUUAGAAGCAGCCAUCAUUUAAAGAAAGCGUAAUAGCUCACUGGUCGAGUCGGCCUGCGCGGAAGAUGUAACGGGGCUAAACCAUGCACCGAAGCUGCGGCAGCGACGCUUAUGCGUUGUUGGGUAGGGGAGCGUUCUGUAAGCCGUUGAAGGUGUGCUGUGAGGCAUGCUGGAGGUAUCAGAAGUGCGAAUGCUGACAUAAGUAACGAUAAAGCGGGUGAAAAGCCCGCUCGCCGGAAGACCAAGGGUUCCUGUCCAACGUUAAUCGGGGCAGGGUGAGUCGACCCCUAAGGCGAGGCCGAAAGGCGUAGUCGAUGGGAAACAGGUUAAUAUUCCUGUACUUGGUGUUACUGCGAAGGGGGGACGGAGAAGGCUAUGUCGGCCGGGCGACGGUUGUCCCGGUUUAAGCGUGUAGGUGUGUGCUCCAGGCAAAUCCGGUGCACUUUAACACUGAGGCGUGAUGACGAGGCACUACGGUGCUGAAGUGACAAAUGCCCUGCUUCCAGGAAAAGCCUCUAAGCAUCAGGUAACACGAAAUCGUACCCCAAACCGACACAGGUGGUCAGGUAGAGAAUACCAAGGCGCUUGAGAGAACUCGGGUGAAGGAACUAGGCAAAAUGGUGCCGUAACUUCGGGAGAAGGCACGCUGAUAUGUAGGUGAAGUGGUUUACCCAUGGAGCUGAAAUCAGUCGAAGAUACCAGCUGGCUGCAACUGUUUAUUAAAAACACAGCACUGUGCAAACACGAAAGUGGACGUAUACGGUGUGACGCCUGCCCGGUGCCGGAAGGUUAAUUGAUGGGGUUAUCCCUCGGGAGAAGCUCUUGAUCGAAGCCCCGGUAAACGGCGGCCGUAACUAUAACGGUCCUAAGGUAGCGAAAUUCCUUGUCGGGUAAGUUCCGACCUGCACGAAUGGCGUAAUGAUGGCCAGGCUGUCUCCACCCGAGACUCAGUGAAAUUGAACUCGCUGUGAAGAUGCAGUGUACCCGCGGCAAGACGGAAAGACCCCGUGAACCUUUACUAUAGCUUGACACUGAACACUGGUCCUUGAUGUGUAGGAUAGGUGGGAGGCUUUGAAGUGUGGACGCCAGUCUGCAUGGAGCCGCCCUUGAAAUACCACCCUUUAAUGGCUGGUGUUCUAACGUGGGCCCGUGAUCCGGGUUGCGGACAGUGUCUGGUGGGUAGUUUGACUGGGGCGGUCUCCUCCUAAAGAGUAACGGAGGAGCACGAAGGUCAGCUAAUCCUGGUCGGACAUCAGGAGGUUAGUGCAAUGGCAUAAGCUGGCUUGACUGCGAGCGUGACGGCGCGAGCAGGUGCGAAAGCAGGUCAUAGUGAUCCGGUGGUUCUGAAUGGAAGGGCCAUCGCUCAACGGAUAAAAGGUACUCCGGGGAUAACAGGCUGAUACCGCCCAAGAGUUCAUAUCGACGGCGGUGUUUGGCACCUCGAUGUCGGCUCAUCACAUCCUGGGGCUGAAGUAGGUCCCAAGGGUAUGGCUGUUCGCCAUUUAAAGUGGUACGCGAGCUGGGUUUAGAACGUCGUGAGACAGUUCGGUCCCUAUCUGCCGUGGGCGCUGGAGAACUGAGGGGGGCUGCUCCUAGUACGAGAGGACCGGAGUGGACGCAUCACUGGUGUUCGGGUUGUCAUGCCAAUGGCACUGCCCGGUAGCUAAAUGCGGAAGAGAUAAGUGCUGAAAGCAUCUAAGCACGAAACUUGCCCCGAGAUGAGUUCUCCCUGACUCCUUGAGAGUCCUGAAGGAACGUUGAAGACGACGACGUUGAUAGGCCGGGUGUGUAAGCGCAGCGAUGCGUUGAGCUAACCGGUACUAAUGAACCGUGAGGCUUAACCUU